UCGAGAGAAAGGGCAGGGGAAGAACAAAAACCCUAAUCAGCCUAAAUUCUUCAAAUUGAGGGAGGAAUUUGGCUCAAAACUAAUGCAUGAACCAAGAUUCUUGACCACCCAAGUGUUCUUCACACCAAGAAUCAUGUCAAGACGGACUCAAGCAUGAAAGGCUAACGGGUCAAGAGGAGACAAGGAAUCGGAUACGAACCCGGAUGCACGAGGUUGUAUGAGUCACGGAGGAUUACUGAAAAGUGAAGAUCGAAGACCGAG